rnacentral:rRNA from 1 species
GAUGAACGCUGACAGAAUGCUUAACACAUGCAAGUCGAUGGGGAAGUGGUGCUUGCACCAUGGCAACCAUGGCGGACGGGUGAGUAACGCGUAAGGGACUUACCUGCAGGACUGGGAUAACAGGGGGAAACUCCUGACAAGACCGGAUAAUGUCAUGGAGCUGCAUGCUUUAUGAUGAAAGGAGACGCCUGCGGAGAGCCUUGCGUCCUAUUAGCUAGUUGGUGAGGUAAUGGCUCACCAAGGCGAAGAUAGGUAGCCGGCCUGAGAGGGUGGACGGCCACAAGGGGACUGAGAUACGGCCCUUACUCCUACGGGAGGCAGCAGUGGGGAAUAUUGGACAAUGGGGGCAACCCUGAUCCAGCAAUUCUGUGUGCACGAAGAAGGUUUUCGGAUUGUAAAGUGCUUUCAGCAGGGAAGAAGUAAGUGACGGUACCUGCAGAAGAAGCGACGGCUAAAUACGUG